AUGUUAAACGUGUAUAGAAAGUAUUUAUGUUGUAUACAGAAAAUGUACAAUGCGUAUGAAAAAAUUAGACAUGUGUUGGAAAAAAUUAAAAGUAGAAAAACUAAAGAAAUAAAUCAAAGAAAUAAAAAAACUAAACCAAGGAAAAAUAUAAAGAAGAAGGGAAAAGAAAAACCGAAGAAAGCCAUUGCUGAAUUGGGCAUGCUGCGGGCCCUCGGUACUGCUCUAACAACUGCUGCGUUGCUCAUCCAUCUCUCUCUGUACUAUCAAGUCCUUGUAAUAUUAGUAAUUGAGAUAUUAAAAGUAUUUGUUCCCCGGGACAACAAGCUGAAUGGAAAUGUCUAA
rnacentral:rRNA from 1 species